GCGGUAAUUCCAGCUCUGUAAGCGUAUACCAAAGUUGUUGCAGUUAAAACGCUCGUAGUCGGAUUUUGGCGUCUGACUUGGGUCGUCCUCGCGGACGCUCUCAGGUUGGGCGCCUUUGUGGAUGGGAGUUAGGUGGUGCUUAAUUGGAUCGCCUAACUGCCGCCACCGUUUACUGUGAAAAAAUUAGAGUGUUCAAAGCAGGCGAUUGCCCUGAAUACAUUAGCAUGGAAUAAUAGAAUAGGACCCGGUUCUAUUUUGUUGGUUUGUUUGAAUCAGGUAAUGAUUAAGAGGGACGGUUGGGGGCAUUCGUAUUCCGACGUCAGAGGUGAAAUUCUUGGAUU
rnacentral:rRNA from 1 species